AUUGAACGCUGGCGGCAUGCCUUACACAUGCAAGUCGAACGGUAACAGGUCUUCGGAUGCUGACGAGUGGCGAACGGGUGAGUAAUACAUCGGAACGUGCCCGAGAGUGGGGGAUAACGAAGCGAAAGCUUUGCUAAUACCGCAUACGAUCUCAGGAUGAAAGCAGGGGACCGCAAGGCCUUGCGCUCACGGAGCGGCCGAUGGCAGAUUAGGUAGUUGGUGGGAUAAAAGCUUACCAAGCCGACGAUCUGUAGCUGGUCUGAGAGGACGACCAGCCACACUGGGACUGAGACACGGCCCAGACUCCUACGGGAGGCAGCAGUGGGGAAUUUUGGACAAUGGGCGCAAGCCUGAUCCAGCCAUGCCGCGUGCAGGAUGAAGGCCUUCGGGUUGUAAACUGCUUUUGUACGGAACGAAAAGACUCUGGUUAAUACCUGGGGUCCAUGACGGUACCGUAAGAAUAAGCACCGGCUAACUACGUGCCAGCAGCCGCCGUAACAC
rnacentral:rRNA from 1 species